rfam:Achromobacter sp. DMS1 scaffold182, whole genome shotgun sequence.
ACCCGGGUGACCGGGGGUCUGAAGGAAGCUGGAUGGCAAAGCGCUGGCCUGACGAACAGGAAGCGGAUGAGGCGUGUCAGCGGGGCAAGGCGGCCAAAUUCGUCAAAGCCCGAUACUUGUACGGAACGCUGGCCCGUAAAUCCGCCAGGCAUGAGCGUGAAGGCGGGUGCG